CCCGCUGAACUUAAGCAUAUCAAUAAGCGGAGGAAAAGAAACCAACAGGGAUUGCCUUAGUAACGGCGAGUGAAGCGGCAAAAGCUCAAAUUUGAAAUCUGGCAGUAAUGUCCGAAUUGUAAUUUGAAGAAGGUAACUUUGGUGAUAGCUCUUGCAUAUGUUCCUUGGAACAGGACGUCAUAGAGGGUGAGAAUCCCGUAUAUGGUGAGAUGACAUAUUACUAUGUAAAGUGCCUUCGAAGAGUCGAGUUGUUUGGGAAUGCAGCUCUAAGUGGGUGGUAAAUUCCAUCUAAAGCUAAAUAUUGGCGAGAGACCGAUAGCGAACAAGUACAGUGAUGGAAAGAUGAAAAGAACUUUGAAAAGAGAGUGAAAAAGUACGUGAAAUUGUUGAAAGGGAAACGCUUGAUGUCAGUCGCGUCGGCCGGGGAUCAGCCUUGCUUAACCGCUCGGCGUACUUCCUGGCAGACGGGUCAGCAUCAGUUUCGACCGUCGGAGAAUGGCUCGGGGAAUGUGGCACUCUUUCGGGAGUGUGUUAUAGACUCGAGUCGAAUGCGACGGUCGGGACUGAGGAACUCAGCACGACCUUAGGGUUCGGGACUUCGGUCCACGUUUGCGUGCUUAGGAUGCUGGCAUAAUGGCCUUAAGCGACCCGUCUUGAAACACGG
rnacentral:rRNA from 1 species